rnacentral:sRNA from 1 species
GCCGGGCAUGGUGGUGCACUCCUGUAAUCCCAGAGGCUUGGGAGGCUGAGACAGGAGGAUGGCAAGUUCAAGACCAGCCUCAGCAACUUAACAAGAUCCUGUUUCAA